rnacentral:rRNA from 1 species
UGGGGAAUUUUGGACAAUGGGCGAAAGCCUGAUCCAGCAAUGCCGCGUGUGUGAAGAAGGCCUUCGGGUUGUAAAGCACUUUUGUCCGGAAAGAAAUCCUUGGCUCUAAUACAGUCGGGGGAUGACGGUACCGGAAGAAUAAGCACCGGCUAACUACGUGCCAGCAGCCGCGGUAAUACGUAGGGUGCAAGCGUUAAUCGGAAUUACUGGGCGUAAAGCGUGCGCAGGCGGUUUGCUAAGACCGAUGUGAAAUCCCCGGGCUCAACCUGGGAACUGCAUUGGUGACUGGCAGGCUAGAGUAUGGCAGAGGGGGUAGAAUUCCACGUGUAGCAGUGAAAUGCGUAGAGAUGUGGAGGAAUACCGAUGGCGAAGGCAGCCCCUGGGCAAGUACUGACGCUCAUGCACGAAAGCGUGGGGAGCAAAACAGGAUUAGAUACCCUGGUAGUCCACGCCCUAAAACGAUGUCAACUAGUUGUUGGGGAUUCAUUUCCUUAGUAACGUAGCUAACGCGUGAAGUUGACCGCCUGGGGAGUACGGUCGCAAGAUUAAAACUCAAAGGAAUUGACGGGGUCAUAGCUGUUUCCU